rnacentral:rRNA from 1 species
AGUGAACGCUGGCGGUAGGCCUAACACAUGCAAGUCGAACGACAGCACAGUAAGAGCUUGCUCUUACGGGUGGCGAGUGGCGGACGGGUGAGGAAUACAUCGGAAUCUACUUUUUCGUGGGGGAUAACGUAGGGAAACUUACGCUAAUACCGCAUACGACCUACGGGUGAAAGCAGGGGAUCUUCGGACCUUGCGCGAUCGAAUGAGCCGAUGUCGGAUUAGCUAGUUGGCGGGGUAAAGGCCCACCAAGGCGACGAUCCGUAGCUGGUCUGAGAGGAUGAUCAGCCACACUGGAACUGAGACACGGUCCAGACUCCUACGGGAGGCAGCAGUGGGGAAUAUUGGACAAUGGGCGCAAGCCUGAUCCAGCCAUACCGCGUGGGUGAAGAAGGCCUUCGGGUUGUAAAGCCCUUUUGUUGGGAAAGAAAAGCAGCAGGUUAAUACCCCGCUGUUCUGACGGUACCCAAAGAAUAAGCACCGGCUAACUUCGUG